rnacentral:lncRNA from 1 species
CUGUGUGACUCUCAGCUCACACCACAAGGUGACACAACGAAGGGUCUUUCGGGUAAACUGGGAGGGUAAAGGCUUAAAGGGCCCAUAUCAUGCAAAAUCCACUUUUUAGACAUUUUGGAGCGUCCCUAUGACUCUAUGGGUCACAUAUACACACACUGAGCACGGUAGAAAUGUAUUUCCUGCUUUUUUCACAUUUUGAAAACGUAAAUUUUCUCAUCCAAUAAAAACAGCCACGACCUACUCUGAGGCCGUGUCCCAGUUGUCCUCACACUGGUUGAAAGUUCUCCUUGCAAAUCCUGAACCACCACCCCCACAAUGAUCCCGAACCAAAACUGGACUUCCGCCAUUUCCCCCCUCUCACUCACCGUGAACAGACCAGCACGGCAGCGCCCAAGUCCUCCCAUAGAAAUAGUUCAGUUCUUAGGUGUUCUAACCAACACCAAAGUCUCUUCACUUUACCAAGGGAUCAACAAGUGAGGAUUUGUGGGUCACUUUUAUUUUUAACGGACCGGUGCCAGAAACACUGCCUCGGCAUUUAUACGUAUGUGCAUUUCAAACGAGGGUGCGUACAAUGCUGGAUUUGUUUCACGGCUCCUGUUGGAAAAAAAGGACCUAUUCCUAAAGUCCGUCAUCCACUCACUGCAGAGGGCAAAUCCCAGUUGCCCACAUGCAAGGAGGCUGUCAAACAGAGAAAUCACUGCAGACUGUUGGUACACAGACAUCUGCUGCCCAGCUCAGGAGUGAAGGUGAUGGUGAGGACAGCCACAGCUUCCAUCUGGUAGAGGACUGCUUCCGCUCAGUCUUCCAAAUAGUGAUGAGAACAAGGAUCACCACAUCUCCCUGUUUACCCUACUUUCAUGCAUUCCGUCUGCAAGGCCCUGCAAAAGCUUCUCCUUCGUCCUCAAACCCCCAGACUUCUUAAUUAACUCAGUAACCUAUACAUUGCACAUUGGAGUGUGAAGGUAACAGUUUGUUCUAGCUUUGGAGUAGUGGUGUAUUUUUUUGGUUUACAAUAAAGUUGGCUUUAACUAUUAUGUAUUUCA